GACGAACGCUGGCGGCGUGCCUAAUACAUGCAAGUCGAGCGAACAGAUGCGGAGCUUGCUGCUCUCACGUUUGCGGAGCACGGGUGAGAAACGCGUGGAUACCCUCCCUAUCAGACUGGGAUAUCUUCGGGAAACGGGCGAAUAUCCCGGAUAAUAUCUUGAACCGCAGGGGUCAAUGGUGAGAGACGGCGUUGCUGUAUCUAAUAGAUGGAUCCCCGCCGCAUUAGCUAGUUGGUACGGUAACGGCUUACCAAGGCAACCAUGCGUAGCCGACCUGUGAGGGUGAUCGGCCACACGGGAACUGAGACACGGUCCAGACUCCUACGGUAGGCAGCAGUAGGGAAUCUUCCGCAAUGGGCGAAAGCCUGACGGAGCGACGCCGAGUGAGUGAUGAAGGUCUUCGGAGCGUAAAACUCUGUUAUUAGGGAAGAACAAAUGUGGAAGUAACUAUGCACGUCUUGACGGUACCUAAUCAAAAAGCCACGGCUAACUACGUG
rnacentral:rRNA from 1 species